rnacentral:rRNA from 1 species
ACCUACGGGAGGCUGCAGUCGAGAAUCUUUUGCAAUGCGCGAAAGCGUGACAAAGCAAUGCCGCGUGCCGGAUGAAGGUCUUCGGAUUGUAAACGGCUGUCACCCGUGACGAAACAUGACGGUAACGGGGGAGGAAGCCACGGCUAACUACGUGCCAGCAGCCGCGGUAAUACGUAGGUGGCGAGCGUUGUUCGGAUUUAUUGGGCGUAAAGGGUUCGUAGGUGGUUCGCUAAGUCUGACGUGAAAUCCCGUGGCUCAACCACGGAACUGCGUUGGAGACUGGCGGACUUGAGUAUUGGAGAGGUAAGCGGAAUACCAGGUGUAGCGGUGGAAUGCGUAGAUAUCUGGGAGAACACCGAGAGCGAAGGCAGCUUGCUGGACAAUAACUGACACUGAGGAACGAAAGCGUGGGGAGCAAACAGGAUUAGAUACCCUGGUAGUC